GAGAAAAAGCCAUUUUAGCUAAUCAAAGAGAGAAAUUUUCCCCUGCACCAGAAUAGGUAAACCACACGGUAUAAUUCCUCUCGCUACAGUUGUUCGCUUCUUCUGCCGAACAACUGUUCACACGCGAUCCAAUAUUUUUUUAUCAAUUUUUUCUGGCACGUUUUUCUUCUCUGGCUGUGGUCCUCUUCCCGCGCUAUCUCCCCCUUCCCUCUCUCUUUCUUCUCUUCCUUUUAGUACCCCAUUCUUGGUAAAGAUUUCCUGUCAGUCCGUCUGCUGCAACAGGGAUGGAUCAGCGGCAUGAUGGGUACUUCACCAAUCUUAUGGAAUCGGAUUCGGAUUUGCAUGAAGAACAAUUUGUGAUGGAAUCACAAUGUUUGAAUCCAAAUGCUCAAGUGUUUACCCAGGAAACUCAAUUCACUGCUGAAAUGGGAUCAAUUCCAAAGAAACCACCACGUGGCGGGAAUUUCACCAUGGAAGAGGACAAACUCCUUGUGUCAGCGUGGCUUAAUACUAGCAUGGAUCCAAUACAAGGUAAGGACUAGAAAAAAACUGCUUUCUGGCUACGAGUGAAGGAUUACUUUGAUGAGCACAAGCGAUCUGUUUACAACUGUACAUCUGUUUCGCUAUUGAAUCGGUGGUCAACAAUUCAGCAGUGCACGAACAAGUUUUGCAACUGCUAUGCGAAGGUUGAUUUACUGAAUCAAAGUGGCUUAACCGAGGAAAACAAGAUAUCUAAAGCAAAAGAGAUGUACGAGGGGAACGUCGGCAGUUCCUUCCAGUUCGAUCAUUGUUGGGUUUUAUUGAAGAACCAACCUAAAUGGUUGUUGGACAGUGAAAAGAAAAAUCAAUUGAAACGACCAAGAAUAGGGACAUCAUCUGGUCUUUCUACUCCAGAUACGAUAAAUCUAGGGGACAACAAUGUUGCAAUGGAUAAUUUUGUGGACGUGGAGCGACUAGCAGGAAGAAAAGGCAAGAAGGAGCGGUCAUUUCAGGAGCAACUGAUGAAACUAAUGAAACGAAGAACAAAGACAUCACAAGUUCAACUCAAAUUGCUGGGGCAUUGGAUGAGAUAAAAGAAUGCAAAACCAAGUUAGUUGAGAAGAAAUUGGAGAUGCUUGGAAAAACAUGUGAUCAAGAGAAAGAGAAAAUUUGCAUUAAGAAAGAAAGGCUUGAAAUGGAUAAAUUCAAAGAGGAUGAGAGAGUAAUGAUGAUGGAUCUUAAUGGCUUGUCGGAAGAGCAACAAGAAUUCUAUAUGUAUCGGAAGAUGGAAAUCCUUGAAAAAAGAAGGUUAAAGUAAUCUCUUUAUUGGGGAAGCAAAAACUUAUUUUGAAGCUGCAAAUGGAUAGUCAGUUCUCACUUUUUGAAGUCCUCAAAGGUAUAUAUCUUAGUUUUUUUGUUUUGAUGUUUGAAAACUAUGACAGGAGCUCUAUCUUUUGAAUUGUCUAAAGGAAGCCUUGAAUGGCAAGCUGGGGGGCUUAUCCAUUUUGUAGUUUGAUGAGUGGAAUUUUAUGUAUGUACUGCAAGUAAUGGUAAAAGAACCCACUUUUUGGCAUAUUUUGUGUGCUCAUAUUCCUAUGGUUUGCAUCU